UAUGUAUAGUCAAAGAGUCAUUUCCAAUCAGGAAUCUGUUUGGAUGUUCUUAACUAACAUCUUUUCUUUGGAGGAGUUACAGGCUUCUGUGCAUACAGUUCCUUACUUUAUAGGCUGUACUUAUUAAAAUAGAAAGGUGAAUUAACAAAUUGCUGCCUCAUUAAAAAAGUGAGGCACUAUAUACAGCAUUUGCUUUUUCAGAGACCUGUUUUCUGAUACCCUCAUCCUGCUCUUUCUCUAAAUGAAUGUUUUCUGUGGAGAUGGGAAAGUUACUGUAAACAGUUCAGGGGCUGCACCGAGUCCUUAAGUCCUGCACUUUGGAAUAACUGCACUGCCAAGAGGCUACACAUGGGGUUGUAUAGAACACUGUGAUGGGUUUUCUUGGUCUUGCCUUUUUAUGUGUGAGUAGAUGCUAAGGGCACACCCCAAUGUGAAUGAAAACUGGUAUUCAAACAACAAAUCUCUCCAUGCUAUAACCUCACCUUCUGCAUGCUUGAACAUUCAGCUUGUGUUUUGUGUCUGUUUUUCACUUUCAGGGUGACAGGUAAACAUGCUUGACCAGCGUGUGCUGGCCCCAUGGGCUGAAAAGUGUGCUCUGCCAUCACAGCCAGGCUUCACACAUGUACACACUUCUGCAUUUUGGAAGAAGAAAAAGAAACAGGAGAAGCAGGAGACUAAGGAAAGAGAAAUCCUGGCAUGCUCUAAACUGCAUUAGGAAUUAAUGGACUAAAAGGAAAGUGCCUUGGAUGAGUGACAUUUCUUUGCUGAAGAAUUAGAAAUUACAUUAUCUUCUCCAGCCAUCUAUGGAGAGAACAUGGAAAGUGUCUCUGCCACCCCCACAGCAUCCUACUGUUGUUGAAAUUUAGCAGGUUUGGAGAAGGUGAAUUUUGGAGGUGCCUACAUUAUAGCAAAUGUAUGUGCUUGCACAUAAAUGUCCUAGUUCAGCACUUGAGUAAAUCAUAUGCUGUCAGUGCAGUUCAGAUGGUUUGCUAUACUGCAGCACAAGACAGAAGAUACUUCUGUGCAGAAAUCCAAUUUAUAUAACCUGUUUCCCCCUGAGGAUGAAAUCUACUGAAAAAAAAAUCUUUCAGUACUGCUUCUUUUAGGUCAUUUCCUUGGGGGAGGGAAUCUCUGUAUAAUCACAGAGUUUGAACUGCACUGCUGGAUAGAAUCACAGAAUCUUAGAAUGUUAAGAGCUUGGAAUGGACCUUAAAGGCCAUCUAGUCCCAGUGCUCCUGCCAUAGCCAAUAAACCUUUCUGUCCUGCUCCA
rnacentral:lncRNA from 1 species